UACGAAGGGGGCUAGCGUUGCUCGGAAUCACUGGGCGUAAAGCGCACGUAGGCGGAUUGCCAAGUCAGGGGUGAAAUCCUGGAGCUCAACUCCAGAACUGCCUUUGAUACUGGCGAUCUCGAGUCCGGGAGAGGUGAGUGGAACUGCGAGUGUAGAGGUGAAAUUCGUAGAUAUUCGCAAGAACACCAGUGGCGAAGGCGGCUCACUGGCCCGGUACUGACGCUGAGGUGCGAAAGCGUGGGGAGCAAACAGG
rnacentral:rRNA from 1 species